GGAGAUAUAGCUCAGUAGUACAGCAUCUGCCUGGCAAGCACAAGACCCUGAGUUUGAUUCCCAGUACCA
rnacentral:tRNA from 1 species